rnacentral:rRNA from 1 species
UACAGAGGGGGCAAGCGUUGUUCGGAAUUACUGGGCGUAAAGGGCUCGUAGGUGGCCAACUAAGUCAGACGUGAAAUCCCUCAGCUUAACUGGGGAACUGCGUCUGAUACUGGAUGGCUUGAGUUUGGGAGAGGGAUGCGGAAUUCCAGGUGUAGCGGUGAAAUGCGUAGAUAUCUGGAGGAACACCGGUGGCGAAGGCGGCAUCCUGGACCAACACUGACACUGAUGAGCGAAAGCCAGGGGAGCAAACGGG